ensembl:lncRNA
AUUGCAGUUUGUCGCACAUUCUAAAUGGGAAAAGUUUGGCCAUUGCAGCAGCUCAUGUGUGGAGGCACCUCUGGAGAACACCAGGUCCAAACCCCAGCCCAAAGCAGCGCCUCCUGGAACUACACAGGGCCAUGGCUGAGUGAGAUCACAAUGGUGGCUGAGAAAUCUUUGUUGCUCCCUUUUCUCCCAUCAGCAACACUCAUAUCCAGGCUGAAUAAAUCCUUCAACAGCAUUCUUUGCUUGUGGCCGUUUGAUGUGCUUCCAAGCAGCUACAAACAUGGGAGACACCCAAACUGCUUAGUGCCAGAAAGGCUGAAACUGCACUGCCAUGGGAGCCUGAACGGCAGAGGGGCCACCUGGCAGUGCCCUGCAGGACCCAAGGAACCACUUUUUGAAAGUCAGAAGAUGCAAAGCAGACCUUCCACAAGGAUUCCCCAAGGAGCAGAGAAUUUGAGGAUCACUGCGAAGGGCAUCAUUGCUCCUUGCUGUUCAUCCCAAACUGUCUUCAUUCUCUCACCCUGUGUAUUCCUGCACAACGGGACUGAGGGAAGUGCAUGAGAUCUAUUGCUGAACUGUGGUGUGGAUAGACUUUGUCUUCCUCAGCUAGCAUUCUGUCACCUUUCAAGAGUGAAAAAUUCAUUUUUAAAACAAAAAUCCCAAGUAAGAAACCUCACAUAGUUGCAGGAAACCACCACAGAGGUAUACAAUAUCCAGCGGAAGACCUUGCUGAAAACUGAACAGAUUACUCUUGUUAUAUGUGGUUAAACUGGGCCAUUAAUGCUAAAACAGUUCAAAGCACAAAAUAAAUUCUGAUUUUCUCCUGUCAAAGUUGGUGGUUUGGUGUUCACACAUUCUAGGCUCCGGUUAAAUGAUUUACUGUACAAUUUAAUGCCUUUCAGCUGUCACUCGCAAAAAGGAUCCCUUGAAUGAUCUGCCAGUGAAUGAAGGCAGCACUUGCCCAGGGUGAAGUGUGGCCAGGGCUGCAGGACCCAACUUGCCAAGAUACUCAGGAACAAUCACGUAAGCCACUGUGACCCAUGUGUGGUACCCAGCGAAGUGAAGGCCACCUUGCUGUGAUCACAUCUGCAAAACCACUUCAUUUAAAGCAUACUGAGACGUUCACUCUGCUGUGGAACUUUUACGAGCAACUGCCUUUACAACAGCUCGCACCAUAGGCACGCUGCUAUUCUUUGUCCUUCUUUUGAACUCUUCUCUGCUCCCGGUCUUCCAGCGGUGUGAUUUUUUGAAGUUUUCCUUCACAAUAGCUUCUCAAAAUCCCAGUUCUCACAUAUCAACACAAAUAGGAGAAACAGUUGCCAUGGGACAGUGAAAAACAUAUUUCAGGAGCUCAGGAGCAAAGAAGGAAAUAAAAAAGGCACUGGAUUUCAGCAGUUACGUGUUGUAGUGUUUGACGUAGCUCUGAGUUCUUUGCUUUGUCUCUAGCUGCAGUGGUACUGUGCCUCUCAUGUUCAGCAGUGGGUGCACUCAGCAGUGGGUGCAGCUCUUAGCAGUGACCUCAUGGGGACACAGCAGUGCCCAGCACUGCAGCCAUGUUCUGUGGAACAGAGAGAAUACUGGUGUCACCUAAAACU